rnacentral:rRNA from 1 species
AACGAACGCUGGCGGCAUGCCUAACACAUGCAAGUCGAACGGGAUCCUAGCUUGCUAGGUGAGAGUGGCGGACGGGUGAGUAACACGUGGGAAUCUGCCUUUUGGUUCGGGAUAACCGCGGGAAACUGCGGCUAAUACCGAAUGCCCUCGAGAGUGGAAAGAUUUAUCGCCAGAAGAGGAGCCCGCGUCCGAUUAGGUAGUUGGUGGGGUAAAGGCCUACCAAGCCGACGAUCGGUAGCUGGUCUGAGAGGAUGAUCAGCCACACUGGGACUGAGAUACGGCCCAGACUCCUACGGGAGGCAGCAGUGGGGAAUAUUGGACAAUGGGGGCAACCCUGAUCCAGCAAUGCCGCGUGAGUGAUGAAGGCCUUAGGGUUGUAAAGCUCUUUUGCCAGGGAAGAUGAUGACUGUACCUGGAGAAUAAGCCCCGGCUAACUUCGUGCCAGCAGCCGCGGUAAU